AAUAAAUUUUUUAUGAUUUUAAAAAUUUUUUUUAAGUUUAUUUUACAUAUAAAUUUUAGUGUUAAUUUUUAAUUAUUUUAAUAAUAGUUAAUUUAUUUUGUAGUAAUUAACAUUAAAAAUUUAAGAAAUUAAGAUUUAGUAAUAUAAAAAUUAAUAACAAAUUUUGUGCCAGCAGUUGCGGUUAUACAAAAAUUAAAUUGAAUUUUAUUAGUAAUUAAUAAAUAUUUUAAAUAUAAUUUAAAUAUUAAAUUAUUAGGUGAAAUUUUAAUUUAAUUAAAAAUUAAUGAUUAAAAUAUGAUUUAAUAAAUUUUAUUAUAAACUAGGAUUAGAUACCCUAUUAUUAAAAAUUUAAAUAAUAAUACUAAAAUAGUAUGUAAUUAUUUAUUGAAACUUAAAUAAUUUGGCGGUAUUUUAGUUCAUUUAGAGGAAUCUGUUUAUUAAUUGAUAAUCCACGAAUAAUUUUACUUAAUUAAAAAUUUUGUAUAUCGUUGUUAAAAAAAUAUUUUUAAAUAAUUUUAAUAUUUUAAAAUUUAAAAUAAAAAUUAAAUCAGAUCAAGAUGCAGAUUAUAAUUAAGAAUAUAAUGGAUUACAAUAAAAUUAUUUAUAUGAAUAUUUAAUUGAAAUAUUAAAUUGAAAGUGGAUUUAAAUGUAAUUUUAUUUAAUUUGAUAAAAUGAUUAAAAAUUAAAAUAUGUACAUAUUGCCCGUCGCUUUCAUUUAUAAAUUGAAAUAAGUCGUAACAAAGUAGAGGUACUGGAAAGUGUUUCUAGAAAGAU
rnacentral:rRNA from 15 species